CUCCCAAUAUUGUUGCGGACAAAUGAAGUGGAUAUGGGUCUCCACGCCACCGGCCGUCACAAUGCAGCCUUCGGCGGAGAUGGCUUCGGUUCCGGCACCCACCUCCAUCCCUUGACUGACGUUCGGCAUGAGAUCGGGGUUGCCGGACUUCCCGAUGCCGACCACCCGCCCGUCCUUUAUCCCGAUAUCCGCCUUCACGAUACCCCAAUAAUCAAGAAUAAGCGCAUUCGUGAUCACCGUGUCGAGCGCGCCGCUCGCGCUGGUCGCUCGCGGGGACUGGCCCAUCCCGUCACGGAG
rfam:Nitrospirae bacterium 13_1_40CM_2_62_10 13_1_40cm_2_scaffold_12889, whole genome shotgun sequence.